rnacentral:rRNA from 1 species
UUAUACUGUCUCCUCUCUCCAAUCAGUGAAACUGAUCUCCCCGUGAAGAAGCGGGGAUUCAAUUAUAAGACGAGAAGACCCCAUGGAGCUUUAAACCCAAUUUGCACCCCUACCACCCCAAACAUCAACCAAACCUCAGGGACCUGUACAUUGGUUUUAGGUUGGGGGGACCACGGAGCAAAAUAAAACCUCCAUAACAAAUGGGCUAACACCCUUACCUGCGAUUUACAAAUCCAAGAAUCAUUAAAAUGAUGUUUAAUGACCCAAUAAGUUGAUCAAUGAACCAAGUUACCCUGGGGAUAACAGCGCAAUCCACUCCAAGAGCCCGUAUCGACAAGUGGGUUUACGACCUCGAUGUUGGAUCAGGGUAUCCCAGUGGUGCAGCCGCUACUAAGGGUUCGUUUGUUCAACGAUUAAAACCCUACGUGAUCUGAGUUAGAACCGG